AUUGAACGCUGGCGGCAGGCUUAACACAUGCAAGUCGAGCGGGGGAGGUUGCUUCGGUAACUGACCUAGCGGCGGACGGGUGAGUAAUGCUUAGGAAUCUGCCUAUUAGUGGGGGACAACAUUCCGAAAGGGAUGCUAAUACCGCAUACGCCCUACGGGGGAAAGCAGGGGAUCUUCGGACCUUGCGCUAAUAGAUGAGCCUAAGUCGGAUUAGCUAGUUGGUGGGGUAAAGGCCUACCAAGGCGACGAUCUGUAGCGGGUCUGAGAGGAUGAUCCGCCACACUGGGACUGAGACACGGCCCAGACUCCUACGGGAGGCAGCAGUGGGGAAUAUUGGACAAUGGGCGGAAGCCUGAUCCAGCCAUGCCGCGUGUGUGAAGAAGGCCUUUUGGUUGUAAAGCACUUUAAGCGAGGAGGAGGCUCUUAAGGUUAAUACCCUUGAUGAGUGGACGUUACUCGCAGAAUAAGCACCGGCUAACUCUGUGCCAGCAGCCGCCGUAAUAC
rnacentral:rRNA from 1 species